GAAUAUUGGGCAAUGGAGGAAACUCUGACCCAGCAACGCCGCGUGAAUGAUGAAGGUCUUCGGAUUGUAAAGUUCUUUUCUAAGGGAAGAAGAAAGUGACGGUACCUUAGGAAUAAGCCUCGGCUAACUACGUGCCAGCAGCCGCGGUAAUACGUAGGAGGCGAGCGUUAUCCGGAAUUACUGGGUGUAAAGGGAGCGAAGGCGGGAAUGCAAGUUGAAUGUUUAAACUAUGGGCUCAACCCAUAGUCGCGUUCAAAACUGCAUUUCUUGAGUGGAGUAGAGGCAGGCGGAAUUCCUAGUGUAGCGGUGAAAUGCGUAGAUAUUAGGAGGAACACCAGUGGCGAAGGCGGCCUGCUGGGCUCUAACUGACGCUGAGGCUCGAAAGCGUGGGUAGCAAACAG
rnacentral:rRNA from 1 species